rnacentral:tRNA from 1 species
GGCGCCUUCGUCUAGGGGUUUAGGACGUCGGGUUCUCAUCCCGAAAAUCGAGGGUUCGAAUCCCUCAGGCGUCACCA